GUCGCCCACACACUCUAGCGAAGGAUCAGCCCAGCAACGGCACCAGAAGGCAAUCAAAAGUCGACAUGCUUCGUGUAGUAGUCAUGAAAACUGUGGCUUUUAAUGUAAACACUACAUUCGAUUGUUUUUUUUUUUUUCAGCACAAACAUCCCACAUGAAAGAACAACCAUUCACUAAAAAGAGCAAGAAGGAGAAGCGGGAGCUGAGAGAGAUUAUCCUCCCAAAUCUACAGGUGAGUGAACGCUGUGCUUUUCGAUGCAGACUUGGAAGGUGUUAAAGAACGAUUCCCAGAAACGGAAGAUGAGCAACCUAUCUACACAGCCGCGUCGACACCCGUCAGCGUCGGGCCGCGGGCCCGUCACCGUGACGACCCCGGAGCAGAGGCGCUGGGAUGCUGGGCAGUCAGGCGAAGGGGUCGGUUUAGUUCAUUACACAUCGGAUAUGAGUUAAAUCAGUGAGAACAAUCCGGAUUGUAUUGGAGGGACCCUUGGAGUGCUUUUUAAAGAAAGGGAGGGGGGAUGAAAUGUUGUCAGCUACAAAGCACAGGAAAUAUCAUUCAAUUGUACUGUUGGUUUUAUGUAAUUGUGAUUGCUAUUGUUUUUCUUGAUUAUUAUUUUUUGUUCAACGUGUAAAGGUUUAUAGUAUUCUAAAGACACACACAGACCAGUGACGGUGGUCUUCAAAGCAUCACUGUUCCUGGUCUUGACAGCUGUCACCCAACCUUCCCUCUACCCCACCACAUGUUUUUUUUUUUCCUCUUUUUAUGCAGUUUUGUAUUUUCUAUUUUUUUGUGUAAUUUUUUUUUUUUUUUUUCAUUUUUCUCGUCUUCUACUUGAAGUAUUUAUCUGUUUAUUUCUUUAUACAAAGGCCAAAGGUCAUGCUAUUAGUGACAGGGUCAGUUGCAGGAGACGCCAUAGCCCAGCCUGUAGUCUAAAAACAGGAAGUCAACGAGAAAUGGUGCAUGAUGGGAGGUAGGAAGCCGAGGGUUGGGGGGAGGGUAAAGGUGGGGCGGGUCCAAGGAUAAAUAAAUUAAUUCAUAAAUUAAUGACAAUUAAAAGUAUACGCUUCUUGCACAAUAAUAUUAAUAGGUUCUUGUUAUUGUAACCUAGUGUUUCUAGCGCUAAUCCCAAACCCCCCUUUCAGAAGGUCGGCACUGAUAUGACACUUAGAGAAAUUUACUUGGCUAAGAGGCCUUGUAACACAGCUGGGGUGGUGCAGAGUGCUGUGGUCCCGCCUCCAAACGCACGCAGCCAAUGACAGCGCUGGCGUGCCUGAGUGACAGACCUGCCCCUUGGGAGGAUUUCCAUCCACGAGUUAAAAAUCGAACAAGCUGAUAUGCUGCAAUCCUGUGUGUGUCCUCAAAUAAUAAUAAUAAUAAUAAUGAUAAAAAAAAACACUUUUUUUCUUAGUUUUUGUCAUCCCUAAAACAUCAAAUAGCUGAACAGAACAGACAGGAUUACCGUAUAACCCCAUUCCCACGGACCAAAGUAAGCGAUACAUCAUAAACCCAGGACUUCAACUGAAUUUGCUACUGUAAGUCUUUACAUCUACCAUUGACACCGAAGCCAUUGUGACCGACUCCAUAGUUGUAAUUCUCAUUUUACCAUUAUCGAAAUCACCUAAUAUUUUCAGGCAAAAGGUGCCCAGGUUAGUCCCCUCAUUGAUACUCAUAAAAUAAAUAUACAUACAAUUAACAAGUAAACAUUAAAAAAAAAAAAAAAGACACAAAAGAAGACACAUUUCCUUUAUGUAAAAUAAAAUGUCUGUUUUGUUAAAAUAAGAAGACACUGCAAGUGGGGGGGGGGGGGGGGGGGGG